CAUAAGAGGUCCAGCCUGCCCAGUGACUUAAUUCAACGGCCGCGGUAUCCUAACCGUGCGAAGGUAGCGUAAUCACUUGUUCUUUAAAUAAGGACUAGUAUGAACGGCACCACGAAGGUUAUACUGUCUCCUUUUUCUAAUCAGUGAAACUAAUCUCCCCGUGAAGAAGCGGGGAUAAAACUAUAAGACGAGAAGACCCUCUGGAGCUUCAAACAACAUAGAAUUUGCCACAUAACAUCUGAAUCUCCGCAUAUAUAAUCUAUUAGACAACAUUACUAUAAGUUUUUGGUUGGGGUGACCACGGAGCACAAUAUAACCUCCACGCUGAAAGAAUCUUUUUUAAGCUAAGAACUACAUUCCUAAGCAUCAACAUAUUGACAACCAUUGACCCAAUAUAAUUGAACAACGAACCAAGUUACCCUAGGGAUAACAGCGCAAUCUACUUCAAGAGCCCCUAUCGACAACUGGGUUUACGACCUCGAUGUUGGAUCAGGAUAUCCCAGUGGUGUAGCCGCUACUA
rnacentral:rRNA from 1 species